AAAAAUAAGUCCUUACACCUACCCGUGUCACUGCAAUUUCUGCCAACAUCCUUGACCUCGUCUUGACCACAUCUCCUCAUUCAAUUUCUUCAUUAUCAAUUAUACCUGGUUUAAGCGAUCAUUCCGUGAUUCAUUUUGCAAUCCCCCUACACUCGCCCCAGCGUCUAAAAUACUGUAAGAAAA
rnacentral:lncRNA from 1 species